rnacentral:rRNA from 1 species
CCCCUAGAUGUUCUGGGCCGCACGCGCGCUACACUGUUCGACGCAGCGAGUCUUAACCUUGACCGAAAGGUUUGGGUAAUCUUCAGCAAAGUCGAACGUGAUGGGGAUCGAUCAUUGCAAUUAUUGAUCGUGAACGAGGAAUUCCUAGUAAGUGCAAGUCAUCAGCUUGCGCUGAUUACGUCCCUGCCCUUUGUACACACCGCCCGUCGCUACUACCGAUUGAAUGGUUUAGUGAGAUCUCUGGAUUGACGCUGGCUAGGGGGCGACCCUUGGCCAGACUGCUCGAGAAACUGCUCAAACUUGAUCAUUUAGAGGAAGUAAAAGUCGUAACA